rnacentral:rRNA from 1 species
UGGGGAAUUGUUCACAAUGGGCGCAAGCCUGAUGACGCAACGCCGCGUGGGGGAUGAAGGUCUUCGGAUCGUAAACCCCUGUCGAAUGGGACGAAAGACUCGCGAGUGAAUACUUCGCGAGAGUGACGGUACCGUUAAAGGAAGCCACGGCUAACUCUGUGCCAGCAGCCGCGGUAAUACAGAGGUGGCAAGCGUUGUUCGGAAUUACUGGGCGUAAAGGGCGCGUAGGCGGCCCUCUAAGUCAGACGUGAAAUCCCCCGGCUUAACCUGGGAACUGCGUCUGAUACUGGAGGGCUUGAGUAUGGGAGAGGGAUGUAGAAUUCCAGGUGUAGCGGUGAAAUGCGUAGAUAUCUGGAGGAAUGCCGGUGGCGAAGGCGGCAUCCUGGACCAUUACUGACGCUGAGGCGCGAAAGCUAGGGGAGCAAACGGGAUUAGAUACCCCCGUAGUCCCUGAGCGGGCUGGCAAGGCGCAU